rnacentral:rRNA from 1 species
GAUGAACGCUAGCGGCAGGCUUAAUACAUGCAAGUCGAGGGGCAGCAUGAGUGUAGCAAUACAUUUGAUGGCGACCGGCAAACGGGUGCGGAACACGUACACAACCUUCCUAUAAGUGGGGAAUAGCCCAGAGAAAUUUGGAUUAAUACCCCGUAACAUAAUGAUGUGGCAUCACAUUAUUAUUAUAGCUACGGCGCUUAUUGAUGGGUGUGCGGCUGAUUAGAUAGUUGGCGGGGUAACGGCCCACCAAGUCUACGAUCAGUAGCUGAUGUGAGAGCAUGAUCAGCCACACGGGCACUGAGACACGGGCCCGACUCCUACGGGAGGCAGCAGUAAGGAAUAUUGGUCAAUGGACGCAAGUCUGAACCAGCCAUGCCGCGUGAAGGAUUAAGGUCCUCUGGAUUGUAAACUUCUUUUAUCUGGGACGAAAAAAGGCUAUUCUUAGUCACUUGACGGUACCAGAUGAAUAAGCACCGGCUAACUCCGUGCCAGCCGCCGCCGAA